GUGCUGGCUUCGGCAGUACAUAUAUUAAAAUUGGAACAAUAUUGAGAAGAUUAGCAUGGCAAGGAUGAUACACAAAUUCUUGAAGUGUUCUGGGGUGUG
ensembl:snRNA U6 U6 spliceosomal RNA